UCCGGUUUAUCACCGGCAGUCCCAGCAGAGUCCUCAGCUUUACCUGUUAGCAACAGCUGGCAAGGGUUGCGCUCGUUGCGGGACUUAACCCAACAUCUCACGACACGAGCUGACGUCAGCCAUGCAGCACCUGUGUGUAGGUCCCGUAAGGGAAGGAAUCCAUCUCUGGAAACCGUCCUACCAUGUCAAACGCUGGUAAGGUUCUGCGCGUUGCUUCGAAUUAAACCACAUGCUCCACCGCUUGUGCAGGCCCCCGUCAAUUUCUUUGAGUUUUAAUCUUGCGACCGUACUCCCCAGGCGGGGCACUUCAUGCGUUAGCGCCGGCACCCAGGGGGUCGCUCCCCCAGGCACCUAGUGCCCAUCGUUUACGGCGUGGACUAC
rnacentral:misc_RNA from 1 species